UUAGUCUGGUUAAUCCAACCGGAACAUUCAGUCGCCCCAGGCCACUAACAGAGGGUAUUAAACCUCCCCCUCUCUGCACCAUUGCUCUCUGUACUGCCCCUCUCUAACCCGCUCUACUAUACCACUGCUGCUGUCCGGACCAGAACCAGAGGACCAGUGCCUCCAAGGAGACAGAGGACAGAGGACCAGAGAGACAGAGAUAGAAAAACAUCAUGGCCUCUUUUAAGAAAUCUUUUGAAGGUCUGAAAGGCUCCACUCAAUCAGCAGCCAAGGGAGUCACAGAGCAUGCAGUCCAGGCAGCUCAGGAAACUGUACAGCAGGUGGCAGAGUCCUCCAAGGAAACAACCGACAUAGCGGCCACAGAGGCCAGCCGACAGACACAUGUGGUCAUCGGAACGGCAGCAGACAAGGCAACCGACACCAUCAAGCAGUUUGGACAGAAGCUGGAGACUAAAUGAUCCCUCCAGCCUUUCCUUUACAGAGGGAAAUCGUCAUAAGUGGCACCCUAUCCUGCACUACCUUUGACUACCUGUUGAAAGUAGUGCACCACUAAGGGAAUAGGGUGCUAUUUAAGACAAAUCCUUACACCAGAAUAAUGUAAAAAAAUCGUACACAACGCAGAACAAACAUUCCACACUGAAAGAUGGUCUUGGAAUCGUUUCCAAACGGCUUCUUUUCCACAAUGUGACGCUUUCUUUUUGUUUUUCUACUGUUUCAUUUUAUCUGAUUAUUUUUUACCAAAGAUAAUAAAGACAUGACUUCUCUUGAAUCAGAGAUAUUCACCUUUCACAGGAACCUCACGCAAAGACUAGCUACUGUACCUGUACAGUAAUGAACAGAGCUACCAUAGCAAGGGUGUCUACAGUAACACAUACUGUACGCUACCAAACACAACACUCAGGGGACGUACAGAGCCUUCAGAGAGUAUUCACAACCGUUCACUUAUUCAACAUGUUGUUGUGUUUCAGCAUUCAUUUUAAUUUGAUUAAAUUGAGAUUUUGUGUCACAAUAAAAACACAAUAAAACACAAUACCCCAUAAUGUCAA